rnacentral:rRNA from 1 species
AUCUACCUAGUAGUACGGAAUAAUUGUUGGAAACGGCAACUAAUACCGUAUACGCCCCACGGGGGAAAAAUUUAUUGCUAUUAGAUGAGCCUAUAUUAGAUUAGCUUGUUGGUAGGGUAAUAGCUUACCAAGGCAAUGAUCUAUAGCUGAUCUGAGAGGAUGAUCAGCCACACUGGAACUGAGAUACGGUCCAGACUCCUACGGGAGGCAGCAGUGGGGAAUAUUGGACAAUGGGCGAAAGCCUGAUCCAGCUAUGCCGCAUGAGUGAAGAAGGCCUUUGGGUUGUAAAGCUCUUUUAGUGAGGAAGAUAAUGACGGUACUCACAGAAGAAGUCCUGGCUAACUCCGUGCCAGCAGCCGCGGUAAUACGGAGAGGGCUAGCGUUAUUCGGAAUUAUUGGGCGUAAAGGGCGCGUAGGCUGACUAAUAAGUUAAAAGUGAAAUCCCGAGGCUUAACCUUGGAAUUGCUUUUAAAACUGUUAAUCUAGAGAUUGAAAGAGGAUAGAGGAAUUCCUAGUGUAGAGGUAAAAUUCGUAAAUAUUAGGAGGAACACCAGUGGCGAAGGCGUCUAUCUGGUUCAAAUCUGACGCUGAGGCGCGAAGGCGUGGGGAGCAAACAGGAUUAGAUACCCUGGUAGUCCACGCUGUAAACGAUGAAUGUUAAAUAUGGGAAAUUUAUUUUCUGUAUUACAGCUAACGCGUUAAACAUUCCGCCUGGGGACUACGGUCGCAAGAUUAAAACUCAAAGGAAUUGACGGGGACCCGCACAAGCGGUGGAGCAUGUGGUUUAAUUCGAUGCAACGCGAAAAACCUUACCACUCCUUGACAUGAAA